UACGGAGGGUGCAAGCGUUAUCCGGAUUCACUGGGUUUAAAGGGUGCGUAGGCGGACAGGUAAGUCAGUGGUGAAAUCUCUGGGCUUAACCCAGAAACUGCCGUUGAUACUAUUUGUCUUGAAUAUCCUGGAGGUAGGCGGAAUAUGUCAUGUAGCGGUGAAAUGCUUAGAUAUGACAUAGAACACCGAUAGCGAAGGCAGCUUACUACAGGAUGAUUGACGCUGAGGCACGAAAGUGUGGGUAUCAAACAGG
rnacentral:rRNA from 1 species